AACGAACGCUGGCGGCAUGCCUAACACAUGCAAGUCGAACGAGACCAUCGGGUCUAGUGGCGCACGGGUGCGUAACGCGUGGGAACCUGCCCUUAGGUUCGGAAUAACUCCCCGAAAGGGGUGCUAAUACCGGAUAAUGUCUUCGGACCAAAGAUUUAUCGCAUUUGGAUGGGCCCGCGUUGGAUUAGCUAGUUGGUAGGGUAAAAGCCUACCAAGGCGACGAUCCAUAGCUGGUCUGAGAGGAUGAUCAGCCACACUGGGACUGAGACACGGCCCAGACUCCUACGGGAGGCAGCAGUGGGGAAUAUUGGACAAUGGGCGAAAGCCUGAUCCAGCAAUGCCGCGUGAGUGAUGAAGGCCUUAGGGUUGUAAAGCUCUUUUACCCGGGAUGAUAAUGACAGUACCGGGAGAAUAAGCUCCGGCUAACUCCGUG
rnacentral:rRNA from 1 species